UCAGAAUGUGAUCUCAGUCGAUCAUUUUAUUCGUAACGACACGGGAGUAGUGAGGAGGUAUAAGUGUGAACGAUAAGAUUUGAGUGAUCACGAUAGCAAUGCCUUUCGCCAAUCGCCAUGCAUCUCACGCUGGCGUCAAAAAUUAUUUUUAUGUGGACACGGGGAGUCGUGCAAGGAGGAUUAGAAAGGGGAGAAAUAUGCGCGGCGGAAGCCUAGCAUGCAGUGGUGCUCAACAACGAAUUCUUCUCGAAGAGUCACAUCGUUAACUAAACAGGAUGAACCUUGUUGCUAUAAAUGCGGAAACAGUGUCGGCAAACAGUGGGAUGGUGCCGUGCGUAUUAACAGAAACGCAGCGAGAAACUCUGCCGCUGAUUAAAUCGGCACAGCGAUUUACUCGUAUUUAGUAACACCUACAUACGACCUACGCACACCAAUGUCGACCGAUGUGAGGUGAUAAUGCAAUGAUAAUGACGAGAAGGUU